CCGGCGCGCGCGCAGUGAGGGCUCCCCCGCACGCCCCCUCAGGGCACGGGGUGGUCCGACCCCCCUUCUCCCCCAGAAAUAAAGGUCCUCCACGUAAUCACUGGAGGUAUUGUGGUGGUUAAAAUCUAGCUGAUCUGUAGGGGACAAAAUUAAUGUUCUGGGGAGUAAAAUCUGAGUUAAUCUGUAAGGGAGAGAAUGGACAUACUGAGGUGAAAAUGAGGUGAUCAGCAAUGGGCGGGAAGGGAGAAUUUUGGGGGUAAACUUGAAGGGAGAGAACGGACAUUUUGGGGUAAACUGAGGUAAUCAGUAAUGGAAAGGGAGAAUUUUAGGGAUAAAACUUGAGAGAAUUAACGUUUUGAGAUAAACUGAGGUAAUCAGUGAUGGAAAGGAAGGAAGAAUUUCGGGCGCAAAACUUGAGGGGAGAGAGUGAACGUUUUGAGGUAAACUGAGGUAAUCAGUAAUGCAAAGAGAAUUUUAGGGGUAAAACCUGAGCGAAGAGAACAGACAUUUUGAGGUAAACUGAGGAAAGAGCCAGAAAGGAAAGGCUGAAGGAGGGAGGCAGCAGGGGUUUAUCUCCAAGGGGUGAAUCAGCAAGACGUUUGGUCCUGCUCCCAAGGGAUGUCUUUAUGCCUGCUCCCGUGUUGGCACACCUGAGGCUGCUGUUUGCGUCUCUAACAGCAGAUAGAUCAGGUGAGAUCAAGGAGACCAUAUUUCCAUGUUUCCUUGGUUAGCUUACGCUGUUAAAAGUGAGUUGUUGUUAGGAGGAAACAGAGCAUGUAAUAACUUGAGUUGGGUUUUAUUUGGCUUUGAGUCAUAAAUCUUAAAGGAAAGGAAAGAGCCAUCAUGUUCAUCCCCAAGUUUGUCAUACAAUCAGCAAGGGGCAAGGCAGUAGUGUGGGCAAGAAAAUGAAACAUGUGAAGGUACAAGUGCCAGCGGGGGGAAGUCACUGUUGCUUAUUGUCAGUUUUGGUGUGACACAGAAAGUUCAGCUAAUCCUCUUAGUUACAGAGACACACGGGUGGGGGGAGAUUGUUAUCUCAAGCAAUUUGCUGGCUCUACUCCUUUUUUCCUUCGAGUUUCUUUUCGCCUAAUUGAGCAGCAUUUCUUCCUGGGACUGGUUUGCAAUAAUCCUGGGGCCUCAUCUGGGAAAAUGCUGAAAAAUAUAGAAGGGAGAAUCAGCCCGAGCGAGGCAGCUUCUAUCACUGUGAGUUUCCGUCUUCAAAAAGGUAUCAGGUUUGGCUCCAAGUGCCGAGGAUUAAAAAUAAGAUAAAGAUUCAAAGUGAUACAGAACAGUCUGUUGGUCAGGGCAAGUAAUCUCUCAGAAAUGGUACCUCAUCCAUGGGCUAGAAGGACGGGUAAUUAACAGCCGUUCAGAAAACCAGGACCUUGGUGGUCUGAGGGUGGAGCAGGGGGUGAGAAUUCCGCUGGAGUGCAUCAGAAAUGUGUUGAUUCCAUUUUCAUUGCCAAAGGGAUGUAUCUGUGGUAAAUCUAAUCAAGACUCAAAAGGCGAACAGGAACAAUAAUAACUGGGGAGGUUUGUUUUUAUUUAUCCAGGAGAUAAGGAUUCAACUACAGGAAUAGAAUGAGAAAAAAAGGUGCCUCUUUCUGAGCAGACAAUUAUUCCACCCACUCUCACUCAUCAUCAAGGUGUUAAUAUUCUAUUGCUAAGGCUAUUUAACAGAUUCUCAGCCUCAAGGCUGAUAAUGUUUGUGCAGUUACUCUGCCAGUUGCCACAGGUGUCUUUUUACAGAAGACCUGAAUAAUUAACAUGGGAUAGUCCUGAAGAUGCCAGUAGCCAGGAGCCAUUCUUCAGGAGACUCCCAGCGUUCUUUCUGGUGCUGAGCAGGGUUGGUAUUACCAGCAGAAGGACACAUUUGAAAACCCUGUUUCCAUAUGCAAACAGAGCCGUAGUCACUGAAGCCACAGGCUGUUUCCAAGGAAGUAAAGGCUCUGGUUCCCAAGCCCUAGGGAUUCACCCUGGAGAAGUUUAAGGUAUCACUGUUCUGCACUUCUGAGGUGCUGGAGGCAGCUAUCCCAAGGAAGAGGUGGCCCAAUGAACGCUGUGGGCAGUGCAAACUGUUUCAGCCCUGAGCCUGAUGCACUCAUGUAUAUCUGAUUUCAGCUGAUACCAAUUUGCAGUGAUGUCCUGGACUGAGAACUGCAGACACGAGUGAUUUAAUUCAAGAUCAUAUCAACGUAUUUUGCUGUGGUGGCUAAAGAAUUUAUUACCUCUAGCUGUGGAGAUGGGUUACUUUUCCAGCUAGGACAGCUAAAUCCAGCAGGGACUGUCAGAGCCAUCAGGUAAGAGAGAAAGGGCCAGAGUGGACAUCAAUCGCAAAGCAGUUGUAAAAUGAGUAGUACAGUGCUUUUAAGAGACAAAUGUUCUGAUGUCCUGCUAGCACAGAACAAGGAAGUGAGGAGUUUGGUAUGUACAUCAUAUCUAGACAUCCUUUUUGACUUCACUUAAGUUCUUCAACCUCUCUCUAGUGUUGGUUAAUCUGGAGCCUUGGAACACCACUGGGCUUGCAGGUCCAGAGGCCAUGCCUGGCUCUGGGCUGUGACACAAACAGGGUGCCUGUUGCUGGUUUCCAAAUGAAGAAAAUGCGAAGGCUGGAUCAGACAAGACUCACAGUGUGUUCCACCAGGUUUUUGACUCAGACUGUGUGUGGGAGCAGGGGCAGGAAGAAAGGAGCGUGUACUUGUGCUACAUGUGACCAGCAGAGCCACUGGACCGCAAGAAACACAGGGAAUGCUCUGCGACGCCUUCUCUGGGGGACUGCAGUGCUUCACAAAGCACAAGGAACAGUAUGGACAGGGCAGGAACUGCUGGACUCAUGGACCUGUCUCUUCCCUCUGCAGGUCUGCACAGCCAGCUAGUGACAUGCAGGACUAUACCAUGCUCUCUAACCCUCUCAGUGAGCAUUUCAGUUUGUAAUGAUGAAUAUAUAUGAAGUCAUACGUUUUUUAGUAACAGAUAAUGCUUCCUGAAUCCACUUCUGUAGCAUUAGGCUGCAGCUCUGACAAUGGCAUAGCAUUCACAGUAGCAGAGACCAUGAAGAAAUUAGAAAUUUAUAAAACUCAUACAUAAUGAGUUUUAAAAAUAUGUUUAAUAAAUAUUCUUGUAGUUCCAUUUCAGAGAGAUGAGUGUUUAGAUUUCUGUUAUUCUGAAAAUGAAUGUCUAAAACCACAGGAAGAAAAAGACAGAAUUGCAGCUGAAUAUCAUGAAUGAAAAAACAUUUACCACUGUGAAUAGGACUGUAUUUCCC